rnacentral:rRNA from 1 species
AUUGAACGCUGGCGGAAUGCUUUACACAUGCAAGUCGAACGGCAGCACGGGGCAACCUGGUGGCGAGUGGCGAACGGGUGAGUAAUACAUCGGAACGUGCCCAAUCGUGGGGGAUAACGUAGCGAAAGUUACGCUAAUACCGCAUACGAUCUACGGAUGAAAGCAGGGGAUCGCAAGACCUUGCGCUGAUUGAGCGGCCGAUGUCAGAUUAGCUAGUUGGUGAGGUAAAGGCUCACCAAGGCGACGAUCUGUAGCGGGUCUGAGAGGAUGAUCCGCCACACUGGAACUGAGACACGGUCCAGACUCCUACGGGAGGCAGCAGUGGGGAAUAUUGGGCAAUGGGGGGAACCCUGACCCAGCAACGCCGCGUGAAGGAAGAAGGCCUUCGGGUUGUAAACUUCUUUGUACAGGGAAGAAGGAAGUGACGGUACCCUGAGAACAAGCUCCGGCUAACUACGUG